AGUUCAGCAGUGACAACACUUACGUUCGCCCUGUUAUACGUUUUGCCGAACUGCAGUCCUGGCUUACAGAUGUAUUUUUGUACCAAUUUUCAUAUCAUGGUAUAAUAGGUAAUAAUAAUGCAACAGUUGAUGGAGUUCCAGGCAGAGUUGCGCAUGCCGAAGAUGUAAGAUAUU
rnacentral:lncRNA from 1 species